rnacentral:rRNA from 1 species
AACGAACGCUGGCGGCAUGCCUAACACAUGCAAGUCGAACGAGACCUUCGGGUCUAGUGGCGCACGGGUGCGUAACGCGUGGGAAUCUGCCCUCAGGUACGGAAUAACUCAGGGAAACUUGAGCUAAUACCGUAUAAUGACUUCGGUCCAAAGAUUUAUCGCCUGGGGAUGAGCCCGCGUCGGAUUAGCUAGUUGGUGAGGUAAAGGCUCACCAAGGCGACGAUCCGUAGCUGGUCUGAGAGGAUGAUCAGCCACACUGGGACUGAGACACGGCCCAGACUCCUACGGGAGGCAGCAGUGGGGAAUAUUGGACAAUGGGCGCAAGCCUGAUCCAGCAAUGCCGCGUGAGUGAUGAAGGCCUUAGGGUUGUAAAGCUCUUUACCCGGGAAGAUAAUGACUGUACCGGGAGAAUAAGCCCCGGCUAACUCCGUGCCAGCAGCCGCGGUAAUACGGAGGGGGCUAGCGUUGUUCGGAAUUACUGGGCGUAAAGCGCACGUAGGC